GAGAAACAACCAAGCGUGGCAGGACAAGGCUAAAAGAAAUAUGGAAUCUUCCAAAAGGGCAGAGAAUUGUGGUCUAGUGCAAUGAACUAAACCAGCCAAUUGGAAAAGAAGCUGGACGUCUUGCGAAUUUUCUUGGCACGAUUGCUAGGAAUGGAAAAUUGUGUAGUUUGAGCUACAAGGACUGGAGAAAACUAAUAGGAGAGAGAGAAAAAAAGACCAAUGAACAAAGAAACAAAAGGGAUAUACUAGUGCAAGUAAAGAUGAGGUUUCUUUACCCUUCUCGUUUGGAAAAGUAUAUAUUAAAAAAAUUGGAGAUAGAUGGAGGGAACAUAAGUCAGAUCUGAAAGCAUUGUAUUUUGAUGCAAACAAGAACAUGGAAGUGAAUAACACCAAUGUUCCAAAGGGUGUGAUUAAGGAUCAGUGGAUUACUCUGGUCAGUAAUUGGAUGACCCCAAAGGCACAGGUACAUACACUUGCCAGAUUUGUUAUGUACAUGUUGCUCAGUCAUGGUAUGAAAUUAUGAAAAAUAUAUGUGCAUACAUUAUACAAUUGUUUGACAGGGGAUAAGUGAGACAAAUAGGAACAAUUGUGCGAUGAGGAAGUCUAAACACACGGCUAGAACUAAGAGUUUUCCACGAGUUAGAGAAGAGCUAGUCAGUUUAUAAGAACUCGAACUAUAUGCAUGUACAUCCCAUUUGUACUGCAGGUCUUUAAUAAAUUAACUGUUUGACCAAUAGAGACUAAAGGAUCCGGAAAAGAAGUACCCACACAGGGCUGUCUUAUACAUGCAUACACAUAAGCACAAAAGCGACAAGAAAAUGAAUGAACAAGUGGUUGAUUUGAAGAAACGUAUAGCGGCGAAUCCAAAUUUAGUAGAUACUAGUAGAGGAAAGACAGCAUGGAAAGGAGAUGUUUUGAAUGCAGUACUUGGCCCAGACAAGCCUGGACAUGUACAUGGCCUCGGACUAGUUCCGAAUCCAAAUCAAGUCUUUGAUGUGUCAACUUCACGCCACUUUCAGAAUAUACACCUUAGUUCAUUGGAGGAUACAUCGAAUGAAGAUCUUUUGGCUGUCAGACUUAAGAUGGAGAAGUUGGAGAAAAGAGUGGAAAACCAAGAUGCCAAAAUUCUGGAACUAAAAGGGAAGACAAAAAACUCUGAAGGACAGGUAAAUUCGAAGAAUUUCUCCAUUAUUCAAUACAUGUACUAAUUUUUAGGUUUUAGUUACAGGGUUCUUUGGA